rnacentral:lncRNA from 1 species
ACUCUCUCGCGAGAGGGCCGCAGAGCCGCCUUUGACGGGGGCGUGUACCUGGAGAGCAACGCAGGCAAUCAAGCUGGCUAGGUUCCUGCCACAAGUUCAGACUAGUCUUCUGUAGGAGCCUAUGAGGUUGGUCCUAUUUUUACUCUCACUUAUCCCUACUUACCAGAUGAGGAUCCUGAGGCUCAGAAAAACUCUUGACAAAAUUCUCAGGGAAAACUCUUCAGCUCUGGAUGUCUCCCUUUUUGUGGAUCAAACACAAAGGGCAUCAUUCUAAAAUAUAUACAGAACCAUAAAAGCCCCAAAUAGCCAAAGCAACCCUGAGCAAAAAGAACAAGGCUGGAAGCAUCACACUACCAGACUUCAAAAUUUACUACAAAGCUCUAAUACCUAAAAUAACAUG